GAUGAACGCUGGCGGCGUGCCUAAUACAUGCAAGUCGAGCGAACGGACGAGAAGCUUGCUUUUCUGAUGUUAGCGGCGGACGGGUGAGUAACACGUGGAUAACCUACCUAUAAGACUGGGAUAACUUCGGGAAACCGGAGCUAAUACCGGAUAAUAUUUUGAACCGCAUGGUUCAUAAGUGAAAGACGGUCUUGCUGUCACUUAUAGAUGGAUCCGCGCUGCAUUAGCUAGUUGGUAAGGUAACGGCUUACCAAGGCAACGAUGCAUAGCCGACCUGAGAGGGUGAUCGGCCACACUGGAACUGAGACACGGUCCAGACUCCUACGGGAGGCAGCAGUAGGGAAUCUUCCGCAAUGGGCGAAAGCCUGACGGAGCAACGCCGCGUGAGUGAUGAAGGUCUUCGGAUCGUAAAACUCUGUUAUUAGGGAAGAACAUAUGUGUAAGUAACUGUGCACAUCUUGACGGUACCUAAUCAGAAAGCCACGGCUAACUACG
rnacentral:rRNA from 1 species